AGACUAAAAAUUGUCACAGACUUAAGUAACAUUUUUGUGUUUGUGCCAUUUGAACCAACUCUUCUUUCUUUUCCUGGCUUUGGCCCUUGGAAAGGUUCAAGGUCACGAAACAACAUUAUUUAUGCCAGCUGCAACCCUUGCCACAAAGCCUUGAGGCAUCCCAAUGACAAAUGCAACUCGAGGAGCUGAAGCAAUCCGGUGAUUUUCCAUCAAUAAGAUGGUUUCCAGCAGCAAACCCCCAUGGGGAGUGAUACGGCUACUCAGUGACUCAAGCGCAGAUAGCAUCAUAAAUCUGAUUGGUCUUUUUCUGCUUUUUUGCAAAGAAAACCCCACCUGCUGGUGUGUCGGUUACUGACAUAGCAGCCCUUGGGAUCUUAUGCCUGUUCUUCCUGAGUCAGAAGGGAAAUCCAAGGAGGGCAGUAAAUGCCGAGAAGACAGACGUCCUGGAAGGAGUGGUACCCUUUAAUUGAGAUCUGUGCAGUUCAAGUUCUGGGGCAUCAGAAAUCUGCUGCAAAUAUUUGCCCGGGCAUAGUAAAGUCUGCCCACAAGACAGUUUAUCAGGAAAGGAAUCCCUUAAGGUGGAGAAUCAAUGGCCGCAUUUUUUUUUCAUGGGAUGGUCUACAUUUCUGAGAAAAACUAAGCAGUGAGAACUUCCAAGAAGUGAGCUGAUACCAUGGGGAUGGGAACACACCACCCCGAGACUCUAACGCUUCCGACGGGCUCCGGCCUGGCGUCAGUCCCACGCGCUGACACUUCUUACAAACCAAAGGAGAAACUGCACCCUUAGGAUUUUUUGCAGUUAUGAAUGGUGUAGUAAACCACAUAUUUGCCUUUGAGUGCCUGUCUGGGAAGCAGAGCUUCUAGAUCUGAUAUGUGAGCAUGCAUGAUCUCACGUUUAUGGUAUAAAAUCCAGGAUAAUCAAAAACGAAAACAGAGAAUCCUUUUCCAAAUAAAGGCUCAGGAACUGCACUUGCGGCCUUCUGUAGUCCAAUGUGAAGAGCUCCGCUUCCGUGAACUGAAGACCGUGGAAGCCUGCGCUGCGGGGCAGUGUUGCGUGUGACAGGCCUGAAGCCAUCUGGGUUUGUUCUCAGGCGCAUGCUUUAGUCUUUUUCCUGCUCUGCAGCAGAGAUGCUGACCACAGCAAGCCAUUUCCUUCUCCGCUUCCAGGAAAACUGGCCAAGAAGAGGCACCGUUAUGUGUCAGGAAGGCAGUGGGAGAAGGCGGGGAGCCCCUCCCUUUUCUGUGCCCUGCCCGGUACUGGGCUACAACAGUGUCUUUGUCGAGGUUUCUGCUUCUAUCUUACAAACCCAUGAUCACUCUUGCUCCCAGUGGCCCCUGGUUUUUAUCCCAUCACUGCUGCCCCUGCAGCCUAAGGUGGAAAUGCCUCCCUGCUAGCUGCACCUCAUAUUUGUAGUGUUUUAACAUAAACUUCCAUAUCUUAGCUACCCCAUCACCCAUGCCACCAACUCCCUUCACUAAAUUCCCUCUUUUCUAAUAAUUCUUUUCCUUGUUAGAUACACAACCCGAGGAUUCAGAAUCAGGUCCAGUCCGUCUUAAGGCAGGAUGGCUUGGUAAGCACAGGGUAGGCAGGACUGAAGUCAUGAAUAGAGCCACUGGUUUGUGUCUUAGGAACAAAUUGUCUUAUGCAAUCUAGACUUUAAGAUCAUACUUGUAAUUGCAGUACUAGAGAGACUCAUGCAAAAGGAUAGUAAGCUUGAGGCUAGCCUGGACUACAUAGUGAGUUCUAGGACAGCCUGAGCUAUAGUGUGGGACCUUGGAAAAAAAGAAAGAAAGGGAGAGGGAGGCAAGGGAGAGAAAGAUGGAGGGAGGGAGAAAGAGGAGGGAGAUUGAUUUCCAUAUGUGUGUAGAAGCUUAUUACCAUCUCAUAGGACAAAAGCUUACAGAGGUAUGACGCCUUCUGGAAGCCAUAGUAUAUAGCCACACUAUAUGCUGGAGU